rnacentral:tRNA from 1 species
GGGGAUGUACCUCAGUUGGUAGAGUGCUUGCCUCACAUGCACAAGGCCCUGGGUUCAAUCCCCAGCACCCCCC